rnacentral:rRNA from 1 species
UACGGAGGGUGCGAGCGUUGUCCGGAAUCACUGGGCGUAAAGGGCGCGUAGGCGGCGCGGAUAGUCGGCGGUGAAAGCCCGGAGCUCAACUCCGGGUCGGCCGUCGAUACUUCCGGGCUUGAGCACUGUAGAGGCAGAUGGAAUUCCGGGUGUAGCGGUGGAAUGCGUAGAGAUCCGGAAGAACACCGGUGGCGAAGGCGGUCUGCUGGGCAGUUGGCUGACGCUGAUG